CUUUCUGUAUGUGUGACAGCCAUAGACACUGAUGUUUUAGCACUACGAAUAUCAUUAUCCCCCUUGAGCACAUUCCUUAAACGAGCUUCAAUCGUGUCUAUCUUCUGAGAAUCCUCAAUCGGGGACCCCGAAUCCCCUUCCUUUACAUAAAUUAAGGAUGCAAUUCGACCAUUGUGAGUCCACACAUUAGCUUCAACUAUAUUGCACUGUAAUUCUGAGAGUACUGCAAAAGAGAGUCCUCAAUCGGGGACCCCGAAUCCCCUUCCUUUACAUAUAUUAAGGAUGCAAUUCGACCAUUGUGAGUCCACACAUUAGCUUCAACUAUAUUGCACUGUAAUUCUGACAGUACUGCAAAAACCUCCGAUAAAAGGCCGAUUCGAUCCGUCCCAGUUAAUU
rnacentral:lncRNA from 1 species